CUCUGUCUGUUUCAGUUGCAGGUACUGACAGUAAGUUUAACCAAUAGGAGAAUCAAAUAUCUGCCAAGUUUACGCAGUUGUCCAAUCAUAAUUAAGCAGAGGCCGUUCACGGUAUUCUGCAUGAAAAUUGAAGGCGAGUGAGUAGCCAAUGGGAAAGUGAAAGAUCCGACAGCUGUCCAAUCAUUCGUGAGCAGAGGCGGGCUGUUAAUAUGCCGGGUAAACACUGAAUUUCGCCGACUGUUAUUGAGAAAAAUAAUACAUUUCAGUAUUUAGAAUUGAAUUUUCUCUAUAUAUAUUUUUUUAAUUUCACCAGACAAGGGAAACACCGUAGUAGAUUUAGUUACAAAUCCACUUUCUCUGAAUAAUUGUACUGGGAGAUGAGCGAUCUUUAAAAAAGAGUAGUGUUGACAGAUUUGACAAAUUGACACAAAGCGAGACGCUACAUGGUUAUCUAUGUAAACAUGUUAUUUAAAAAUAUUUGCAUUGCGUAUUUUAUAUGAAUUAUUUGAAAAAUAAGCGCAGCACACACAAUUACUGCCUGAGACUUGGCCUUAUCAGCGUAAACAAAGAAUAACUCCCACUAAAACUCUCUAUAUAACGUUAUACUAUAAGAACCUAUGCAAUAGUCAGCGUGCCCGCAAACAGCCAAGUAAGAUCAAUUUAUGCCCGUGCCCAAAUUACUUUGAGGACCACUGCUGUAAAGUCAAACUGAUAACGUUUGGCAAAUAAAAAAAGCACGUACUAAACUAAACAAUUUGGCUAUUUUUUAAAACAUUUUGUGUCCUUUUGGCAUGCCGUAGUUAUUUGACGAAAUAAAAAAAAUCUUGUGCUAACUCAAAUAAGAAAAGCUGAGUAGCGGUGCGAAAAAAAGAAAAAUCACUAAACUCAAACUAGCUAAAUCCGAGGAGGUUAUAAAUAGUACCCCAAAACUCACUAAACUCUUUAAAAGUCAGUGUCAGAAGAAUGAAAAGUUAGGAAGAGACACAUGAGUCAGAGGAGCAAGCAGAGAGCAGCGAGUCGGUUAGCGCUGAGUGCACAGCCACUACAGAGGAGAAAAACGAGAGCCAGCCAUUGAACUGCCAAUUUAAGGCGAGAGAAACUGACAAAACAGAUAAUGCUAUUGCUAGCUCUGAUACGGCAUGUUGGGGUCCGAUAACUGAGGAGGUGAGGUCGCACUAGGUGAGCAAGUGUCCCCUUAUUUGCCAGUAAGACAGUACUUUUUCCGCCUCAUAGAGAAUUUAAUGAAUUACUGAAUUUAAUGACUCAAUCAUUUAACUCUCAUGUUCACUGAACAUGACCUGCUUCGCCAACUGGACUUCACGGACAUUAGUAAGGAAUUAUUUUUUAAGUUUUAAGGCAAGAAAGCAUAAGAUCUAGCAAUGAAACCAAAACGCCGUUCAAUAUAAACGCACUAAUGGUUAAACUGCGUUCCAAAUACACAGAAAAGCAAUGGAAUGAGACGUUUAACCUGGUGCGCUGGUGCAAGUUCUUCCGCUCAUAAAUUAAUAUUUGGGGUUACAACUGCACCUGGGAGACGGAUUCAAAUCUUUCAUGUAGUUGAAGAUGGGACAGUCUUUCCUGUUUGAAGAGAUCCUUGAUGAGAAAGGACAAAUCCACAAGUGGUUUUGGCUUAGCCAGCAAUCACCUGGGCUGCUUUGGACUUCAGAAAGCUUUAAAUGGUAAAGUGUUCUAUUACCAGAAAGUUGUCAGUGCCAUUUGUGGAAAGACAUUUUGGAAAUGGAGGCAUUUAAAGCAAUGUGACAAAGGUCUGCAUUCAUAAGAAAAACAAAUUAAUUCCAAAAAGUCAUUUUCAUUAUUUAUUCUUCAUUGCACAGCUUCAUUUUCUGAAGAACAAACAGAUUCAAAUUCUAAUCUAUAAAGAAAGUCACAAACAUGUUUCAGCCAAAAAGCCUUAAUCAGUGGAGGCACCAAAUGAACAAGACUAUGGGUUGUAGAAUUGCCAACGUAAGCAAACCACUCCUCUUAACGGAUGGCAUCCUUGUAUUUUGGUUAAAGAUUUGUCCACAACAGCAUUUAUUUUUCUUCCCACUCUGUACAUUGAAUGAUGCUGCAAAGCAAUAUUUGCCUUUGUGUUGAAUUGAAUGUUCAAAUAACCUAAUGUAUUAUAACUUGACAGCUGAAUUGAUAUACUGGUAUAUUAUACAAUAUUUCUUAUUUAGAAAUGCUUGCAUUCAAAGCUCCAAUGGGACUGUAAUAAAUCCUAUUGAAAGACGACAAUGCUGCACUUUAAUUGAAUGUAAUGCGUGUGUAUUUGUAGUAUUAUUAAGUUAACUUUCUGCUUGUAUCUCUAUUCUUCAAGUUACAUCCUUGACAGCCAUGGCAACCAGACUAGAAACUAUAGCUAAGCAAAAAGAGUAAGUGCUAUUUUAUUUGCAUAGUGGGUCUAGGCUCCCAACAAUGUUGCCUUUCUUCUUGAGUCGUACAAUCAAUUUACAUUCUCUGGGAAGGGAAAUUGUGUCACUGCAGCAUUGUACAUUUAGUCUUAACAGUCACGUGUGAAAGAAGAUGUUCUGAAAUUCAGCGGACGUGACCAUCUUGCACAUUAAUAAUGCAUCACCAUAUUCAAUGCACCAGUGGCUGAGUAACAUCAUAUCAUUCAAAAACGUCCAUCUCACAGAGAGAUUGUUUACAAUUGUGUAGCUUGUUAGAAAUGUUGGUACUGAAGCUCAGAAAAACGAAACUAUGGACUAAAAUAUAUUGGGGGUAAUACACAUGUUCCUACUAACUUAUUAUUGAUUGUGUAGGGCCUGGGAAUGCAGAGGUUGAAUUAGCAGGAGCCCUGCCUGUAGUGGCUCCCUCUAGCGGGUCAUUUCUCCACAGCAGAGUGCUUAAGGCAGUAUAUACUAUGGGCCAAAAGUAUUCAGGUUUUUACAGCAAGAAAGAAUUGGCCAUUUUGCAGAAGGAAUAAGUGUUACAAGAUAACAGAUUAAAUAAAUCUCUUGGAUGGUCUGUUAUGUUUUGUUGCCUUAACUGUUUUAUUUUACUUUUUACAAAGAAUGGUGCUAAUUGCAUUUUGGGCUUGAUUUAAAUAUGGCCAUAUGUAGCAUAUUGACAAAUACAUAAUUCAAACGGUUCAAACCAAGUGUGCUUCCUUGUUCAUACCAGGGUAGGUCAUGUAACAUGACUUUUUAAAGUAAUUUGUUAGAUGUGAAGCUCAGUGUUAAGAAAAUAAGAUUUUUUUUAAGUGCCCUCAUGCAAUUAAAAUGUUGUAGUUUUUUUUUUUAAAUGUUCCCUGCAUAGUUAAACUUUCAU